rnacentral:rRNA from 1 species
GAUGAACGCUGGCGGCGUGCCUAAUACAUGCAAGUCGAGCGAACGGACGAGAAGCUUGCUUCUCUGAUGUUAGCGGCGGACGGGUGAGUAACACGUGGAUAACCUACCUAUAAGACUGGGAUAACUUCGGGAAACCGGAGCUAAUACCGGAUAAUAUUUUGAACCGCAUGGUUCAAAAGUGAAAGACGGUCUUGCUGUCACUUCUAGAUGGAUCCGCGCUGCAUUAGCUAGUUGGUAAGGUAACGGCUUACCAAGGCAACGAUGCAUAGCCGACCUGAGAGGGGGAUCGGCCACACUGGAACUGAGACACGGUCCAGACUCCUACGGGAGGCAGCAGUAGGGAAUCUUCCGCAAUGGGCGAAAGCCUGACGGAGCAACGCCGCGUGAGUGAUGAAGGUCUUCGGAUCGGAAAACUCUGUUAUGAGGGAAGAACAUAUGUGUAAGUAACUGUGCACAGCGUGACGGUACCUAAUCAGAAAGCCACGGCUAACUACGUG